AGAGUUUGAUCCUGGCUCAGGACGAACGCUGGCGGCGUGCUUAACACAUGCAAGUCGAACGGUAAGGCCCCUUCGGGGGUACACGAGUGGUAACCUGCCCUUGACAUCGGAAUAACAUUUCGAAAGAAGUGCUAAUGCCGAAUAUGAAACUGCAUGGCAUCGUGCGGUUUGGAAAGCUCCGGCGGUCAAGGAUGGACUCGCGUCCUAUCAGCUUGUUGGUGAGGUAACGGCUCACCAAGGCUUCGACGGGUAGCCGGCCUGAGAGGGCGACCGGCCACACUGGGACUGAGAUACGGCCCAGACUCCUACGGGAGGCAGCAGUGGGGAAUAUUGCGCAAUGGGCGAAAGCCUGACGCAGCAACGCCGCGUGUGGGAAUGACGGCCUUCGGGUUGUAAACCACUUUCAUCUAGGACGAAGCGAAAGUGACGGUACUAGAAAAAGAAGCACCGGCCAACUACGUGCCAGCAGCCGCGGUAAUACGUAGGGUGCGAGCGUUGUCCGGAAUUAUUGGGCGUAAAGAGCUUGUAGGCGGUUUGUCGCGUCGGAAGUGAAAACUCAGGGCUUAACCCUGAGCCUGCUUCCGAUACGGGCUGACUAGAGGGAAGUAGGGGAGAUCGGAAUUUCUGGUGGAGCGGUGGAAUGCGCAGAUAUCAGAAGGAACACCAGUGGCGAAGGCGGAUCUCUGGACUUUACCUGACGCUGAGAAGCGAAAGCGUGGGGAGCAAACAGGCUUAGAUACCCUGGUAGUCCACGCCGUAAACGGUGGGUACUAGGUGUGGGGGACAUUCCACGUUCUCCGUGCCGCAGCUAACGCAUUAAGUACCCCGCCUGGGGAGUACGGCCGCAAGGCUAAAACUCAAAGGAAUUGACGGGGCCCCGCACAAGCGGCGGAGCAUGCG
rnacentral:rRNA from 1 species